CUGGCGUUUGAUUAUAACGCGUGACUGGUGUUUCCUUUGCGCGGACAUUGUUUAUACGGGCGGAAGUACAAUACAUGCGUAACAAAUAUUGAUUGGGCCAAGUGACCAGUUCUACCCAUGUUUAGGCACUUUAAGGCACCCUGCGAACUGGAGACAGGUACUGUUGAGGUACCUACCAAGCUGACCCCUCUCCCUGAUCCUCUUCAGAUUCUUUCCCAAGGACUCACAGGUUAAAG